GUCUAUGGUCAUACCACCUUGAGCACGCCCUAUCUCAUCUGAUCUCGGAAGCUAAGCAAUGGAGGAUAUUUGGGCACUGUGGUAU
rnacentral:rRNA from 1 species